ACGUGGAAGAUAACUGUUAAGGCAUUUGAUUUCAUCUUUAUGCAAGUUAAUCGACGGUUGGCUCACGCACGCGCUACCACUAUUCUCGAUAUGCCAUGCUUCAAUCAUCAGGCGCGUUUUUUUUUUUCAUUUCUAUGACGGUACAACACUGCGCAUUCAUCGAAUUUUGGCGUGCACUUACAAUCUCGACAAUGUAAAGAUAGAUUAGAAGGUGAGCCUCCUGUUAGCGAUCUCUUAUGUUCCAACAAUCUCUGGUUAAUGCAUCGGCCCGUUUGUCCUACGUAGAAGCGACCGCAGCUGAAAGGGACCUUAUACACCACACUCGUACGGCAAUCAUUGAAUUUGUUGGUGUGUUUUACGAAACAAAUAUCGGUCCGCUUCUUGUCUUUUACUCGCUCAUUCUUCCUCUGCACAGCGGCACAAAUCUUACCUAGCUUAUUGGCAGCCGUGAAAACAACAUUAACGCCCUAUCUACUUCCUACUUUCUUUAGCCUGUGAGACACGCAAUGAAUGUACGGUAUACCUACGACACGUUUCUUCCUAUCGCUUUCUGCAACCAUGCUCGGACUUAACACAAUAGACUUCUUUAAACGUUCAGCGACCGUGGCCACUGCAUCACGAGGAUACCCUACAUCUAGAAGACGUGUAACCUGUGCGUUAAAGCUAUCACUCUCGAGAGAAUAGCUUGUAAUGUCAAGGAGGCUAAAUCACUUACUUUAGAAUUGUUUUUUCAGCCAAAACACAUAAGAACGAGAUCCCAUUUCGAGCAAUCGUUUCAGAGCAAGGCAUCUGGCAAGUCGCUGUAUCUAGUUAUUUGCAGAACUGCUUAACCUCUAAGUUUUUCAGACACUUUUCGUAUGCGUAAUUCUCAGGCUCUAGUUCAGUUCCUCUCAGAGGAGAACCCCGGCUGUUGUAAAGCUUUUAGUAUGGAUAUUGAAGACCUGUAUUAUUCUUUGCCGCAUGAGGACUUGUUAAAUUGUGUCAAUGAACGUAUUAACGAACAAGCGCAUCAGACGGUUUUCACCGAUAAAUGUGGUGUUUCUACCUUGGUUUUCCUUGCUGCAGGAAAUUGAGGUCAGUAAAUGAUUUAUUUUUCAUAAAGCAGCCACCCCUAGUGAAAUAAUUCCCCGUUCCUUUCAAAUAACAGAUCUCAGCCAUGCGGACAUUUAAAAUAACAAUGCUGCUGGUGACUUUGUUGGCCACCUGCGAAGUCUCACAUAUAAUGGCGUCUUGUCCAGAAAACGAAGAACCGGGUUUCUGCGAUGGUGGUGACUAUUUCCCCCAACUAUAUUGUGGUGCCGUUUACAUAACAGUAGAGAAGUGGACUUGUCACCGCAAAAAUAAGGAAAGGUGCGUGUGCAUUCCUAAUCUCUACAGAAGAUCGGACGGCCAAUGUGUCCCCAAGCAUGAAUGUGGAAACACGGGAAAACCUGAUGAACCCAUUCAGCCACCCACAAAAGAGCCUACAGACUCUAAAUAUGAAAUACCUGAUAUCCUAAAGCUAUCACCUGAAGAUAUCCGCACUGUUUUGGGGUUCAUUCAAAAUCGAAAAACAAUAUAUCUCAUAAUGACUAUAAACAAUGACUUGCCCUAUACUUUCAAAGGAUACCACAUUUGUCUGAGGUCCGCAUAUAUAUCUAGCCGGGGCUAUGGGGCCUUACGCACUUUAAGCAGUCACAAAGAUGUGCAGCUGAUAGGCUCCCGAAUUACCGUGAAAACCAAGUAAGUAUAAUUCAACCAUUUCCUCUUCUACUGGG